rnacentral:rRNA from 1 species
CUUGAUUAAAUAUAAGAGGUCCAGCCUGCCCAGUGACCUAGUUCAACGGCCGCGGUAUCCUAACCGUGCGAAGGUAGCGUAAUCACUUGUUCUUUAAAUGAGGACUAGUAUGAAUGGCACCACGAGGGUUAAGCUGUCUCCUUUUUCUAAUCAGUGAAACUAAUCUCCCCGUGAAGAAGCGGGGAUUACCUUAUAAGACGAGAAGACCCUAUGGAGCUUAAAACAAAUUAACACCUGCUUCUAUCUAUUUUUGUUCCUGAACUGACACAUAAAAUAUAGCACUAUUGAUUAAUAGUUUUCGAUUGGGGUGAUCAUGGAGUAAAAACCAACCUCCACGACGAAAAGGACCACUUCCCUGAGCUAAAAGCUACAACUUUAAGCACUAAAAAAUUAACGCAAUUUGACCCAAAUUUUUGAGCAACGAAC